GUAGGGGGCAAGCGUUGUCCGGAUUUAUUGGGCGUAAAGAGCGUGUAGGCGGCCUGAAAGGUCAGCUGUGAAAACUCGAGGCUUAACCUCGAGACGUCGGUUGAAACCAUCUGGCUAGAGUCCGGAAGAGGAGUGUGGAAUUCCCGGUGUAGCGGUGAAAUGCGCAGAUAUCGGGAAGAACCCCCGUGGCGAAGGCGGCACUCUGGGACGGUACUGACGCUGAGACGCGAAAGCGUGGGGAGCGAACAGGAUUAGAUACCCUGGUAGUCCACGCUGUAAACGAUGGGUGCUAGGUGUGGGGGGUGUCGACUCCCUCCGUGCCGAAGCUAACGCAUUAAGCACCCCGCCUGGGGAGUACGGCCGCAAGGCUA
rnacentral:rRNA from 1 species